rnacentral:misc_RNA from 1 species
ACACCUCUACUUGGAAUAAUUACUAUAUAAAAGAAGUGAAAGGGACCAGGAGAAGUCAAUACAUUCAUAUGACGUUGGGCUGGCUGCGAGGCUGCCUGAUCACUCUGGAACCACAGCUGAAUCGUAUACGAAUACAUUCACAAGAGUUCUGCGGCUGGGAACGAAGUACUUGAAACUGGAUCCCAUGGCUUUACCUAACCAAGUCCUGGACUUCUCCCUUUUCGGCAGAGUUUUACUGCUUGAAGGAUCAGUGUCAGGCCUCAGCUCAAUCAGACAGACAGGCACAAACCUAAUUAGGGCAGAAAAUGGCACCUUCAGCGCUAGCAUAGACCUCGGCACCGAGCAACUGCACGUCAACUACACUGCCCUGAUAACGGCCGCCAAAUUUAGUCACUUGGUUGCGUAUUUGUCGGCCUUCGUUAGGAUGACCAGGAUGGCUCUUGUUAUCAGUGAGACAGAUGCUGGUGAACUUCAACUCAUUCGGUUUCAAUUAAUAAAUUUUGAUGGACUGGAAGUUACCCUUGAUGCUCUAAAGCAUGGUGACUAUCUGAUUAACGCCAUUAUACGGAAUGCUUUAAAAAUGUUCAGAAGCACUUUGAAGGCUAAAACUGAAGAAACAAUUGUGCGAGAAAUUCGAUCUUCUCUUAACUACCUGAACAAACUUUUGUCUUAAAGUGCUUUUCCUAAAAACAUACCUCUUCUAAUGUGAUAAUUGCUGACUGUUACAUUGGUUGAAUCAAUAAACAUAAGCCACAAGACCAAA